CACGGGAGCGCGUGUGGGUGCGUCGCCGCGUCGCGCCACAGCGCGCACGCGUGCGUGCACACUCGCGACGCGACAGAGUGCUGUUAUGAUUGUUGACAGUAAUGAUACCCGAAAGCAAAAAGAGAAUAAGGAAGGACUAUGCUCGGCAUAUAGAUAGAGUAAGUUGAGCUCAACUCACAGAAUGCGGAUGAGAUGGACGAUUAAGUUACACGUGUGUCAGUUAUCAAUGACAGACACAUACGCAUUAUGCGAUAAACGAAAUUGUGUAUAGUAUAAAAAUUAAUUUUCAUAAAAACAUUUUAUAAAACUACAUAAAUUAGAAACUGAAAAAAUUAAUAACACGGGACAACUUUCACGACCAAACAUCAAAAUAGAUAACAAUGUAUUCUGUAGUGCAUUUUCCAUUUUAAUUGCACAGGAGAAAGUCAACAAGUUGAGAAAACAGCAGCAGUUGAAGAAAGACAGGAACAAGAAGUUAUGCUAAAAUGAAUAAAUGCCAAGCAUUUAGUGAAAUAUUGAGUUUAUUAAAAACGUUAGUAUGAGUUACAAUACCAUAUUUUUUUUGAAUAUAUUAGUACAUAGAAAA
rnacentral:lncRNA from 1 species